rnacentral:tRNA from 1 species
GGGGUUGUAGCUCAGUGGUAGAGCGCUCGCCUCACACGUGCGGGACCCUGGGUUCGAUCCUCAGCACCACA